rnacentral:rRNA from 1 species
GAUGAACGCUGGCGGCGUGCCUAAUACAUGCAAGUCGAGCGAGCUUGCCUAGAUGAUUUAGUGCUUGCACUAAAUGAAACUAGAUACAAGCGAGCGGCGGACGGGUGAGUAACACGUGGGUAACCUGCCCAAGAGACUGGGAUAACACCUGGAAACAGAUGCUAAUACCGGAUAACAACACUAGACGCAUGUCUAGAGUUUGAAAGAUGGUUCUGCUAUCACUCUUGGAUGGACCUGCGGUGCAUUAGCUAGUUGGUAAGGUAACGGCUUACCAAGGCAAUGAUGCAUAGCCGAGUUGAGAGACUGAUCGGCCACAUUGGGACUGAGACACGGCCCAAAACUCCUACGGGAAGCAGCAGUAGGGAAUCUUCCACAAUGGACGAAAAGUCUGAUGGAGCAACGCCGCGUGAGUGAAGAAGGGUUUCGGCUCGUAAAACUCUGUUGUUAGAAGAAGAACAAGGAUGAGAGUAACUGUUCA